rnacentral:rRNA from 1 species
UACGUAGGGUGCGAGCGUUAAUCGGAAUUACUGGGCGUAAAGCGUGCGCAGGCGGUUCGUUGUGUCGGCGGUGAAAGCCCCGGGCUUAACCUGGGAAUGGCCGUUGAAACUGGCGAACUGGAGUGUGGCAGAGGGGGGUGGAAUUCCGGCGUGUAGCAGUGAAAUGCGUAGAUAUCAGGAAGAACACCUAUGGCGAAGGCAGCUCUCUGGGACGGUACUGACGCUGAGACGCGAAAGCGUGGGGAGCGAACAGG